AUGGUCCACGCCUCCAGAGAGGACCCAAAGGUCUUCCCCUUGGCCCUCUGCCCCAAAGAUGCCCCCAAGGGGGGCGCCUCCGUGACACUGGGCUGCCUGGUCAGGGACUACAACCCAGAGCCAGUGAUCGUGACGUGGGAUGCAGGGUCUCUGACAAAGAGCGUCGUGACCUUCCCGGCCACCUUAGACUCGACCUCUGGCCUCUAUACCACCACCAGCCAGGUGACUGCCUCUGGCGAAUGGGCCAAACAGAAGUUCACCUGCAGCGUAGAGCACGAAGGGUCCACCACCGUCAACAAGACCUUAAGCACAUGCUCCCCGAACAUCACCCAGCCCACUGUGAAGCUCUACCACUCCUCCUGCGACCCCAGCGGCAACACCCACGCCACCAUCCAGCUCCUGUGCCUUGUCAGUGACUUCGCUCCAGGUGACAUCGAGGUCAUCUGGCUGGUGAAUGGGCAGAAGACCACGGACACAUUCCCCUACUAUGGCCCCACCAAGCAGGAGGGUAAACUGGCCUCCACCUUUAGCCAGCUCAAUGUCACCCAGGGCCAAUGGGUAUCCCAGCACACCUACACCUGCCAGGUGAACUAUCAAGGCUGCACUUUUGAGGCCCAUGCCCGCAACUGCCCAGAGUCUGAGCCCCGAGGCGUGAGCGUCUACCUGAUCCCGCCCAGCCCCCUCGACCUAUACAUCCACAAGUCGCCCAGCCUCACCUGCCUGGUGGUGGACCUGGCCAGCCAGGAUGGCACGAGCCUGCAGUGGUCCCGGGAGAGUGGGGGCACCCUGGCCAAGGCCACCGAGAAGAGCAGACUCCACUUCAACAUGACGUACACCGUCACCUCCACCCUCCCGGUGGACGUCAACGACUGGAUCGAGGGCGAGACCUACACGUGCAGGCUGAACCACCCGCACUUGCCCAAGGACAUCGUGCGCACCAUCGCCAAGGCCCCAGGCAAGCGUGCGGCCCCCGAGGUCUACGUGUUCCUGCCACCCGAGAAGGAGCAGGGGACAGAGAGCACGGUCACCCUCACGUGCCUGGUCCAGAAUUUCUUCCCUGCGGACAUCUCCGUGCAGUGGCUGCGCAACAAAGACUUGCUCCCGACCGGCCGCCACACCACCACGCGGCCCCUCAAGGACAGCGGCCCCAGCCCGGCCUUCUUUGUCUUCAGCCGCCUGGAGGUCAGCCGGGCCGACUGGGAGAAGAGAAGCAACUUCACCUGCAAAGUGAUCCACGAGGCUCUGCCAGGCUCCAAGACCCUCGAGAGAUCAGUGUCCAAAGAGGUGGACCUCCAGGACCUGUGUGUGGGGGCGGCCGAGGGUGAGGAGCUGGACGGCAUGUGGAGCAGCCUCUUCGUCUUCAUUGGGCUCUUCCUGCUCAGUGUGACCUACGGUGCCUCUGUCACCCUCUUCAAGGUGAAGUGGGCCUUGGGUGCCAUCCUGCAGGAGACACCCCAGACCACCCACGACUACGAGAACAUCAUGCAGCCAGAGGCCUGGGCACGGAGCGGGAGCAGCGCCCGCCUGGCUGCCUUCCUCCCUGCAUCUGAGCGCCCCUGA